ensembl:lncRNA
GAGAGCUUGUGGAGAGGCAGAGAGAGAGAACAUGUGGAGAGGCAGAGAGAGAGAAUGUGGAGAGGCAGAGAGAGAGAGGGUGGAUAGGCAGAGAGAGAGAGCUUGUGGAGAGGCAGAGAGAGAGAGAAUGUGGAGAGGCAGAGAGAGAGAGAGGGUGGAUAGGCAGAGAGAGAGAGAAUGUGGAGAGGCAGAGAGAGAGCAUGUGGAGAGGCAGAGAGAGAGCUUGUGGAUAGGCAGAGAGAGAGAAUGUGGAGAGGCAGAGAGAGAGUGUGGAUAGGCAGAGAGAGAGAGAGAGAGAGAGUGUGGAUAGGCAGAGAGAGAGAAAGUGUGGAUAGGCAGAGAGCGAGAGUGUGUGGAUAGGCAGAGAGAGAGUGUGGAUAGGCAGAGAGAGAGAGUGUGUGGAUAGGCAGAGAGAGAGAGUGUGUGUGGAUAGGCAGAGAGAGAGUGUGUGGAUAGGCAGAGAGAGAGUGCGUGUGGAUAGGCAGAGAGAGAGCAUGUGGAGAGGCAGAGAGAGAGCAUGUGGAGAGGCAGAGAAAGAGUGUGGAGAGGCAGAGAAAGAGUGUGGAGAGGCAGAGAGAGAGCGUGUGGAGAGGCAGAGAAAGAGUGUGGAGAGGCAGAGAAAGAGUGUGGAGAGGCAGAGAAAGAGUGUGGAGAGGCAGAGAAAGAGUGUGGAGAGGCAGAGAGAGAGUGUGGAGAGGCAGAGAAAGAGUGUGGAGAGGCAGAGAGAGAGCGUGUGGAGAGGCAGAGAGAGCAUGUGGAGAGGCAGAGAGAGAGUGUGGAGAGGCAGAGAGAGAGCGUGUGGAGAGGCAGAGAGAGCAUGUGGAGAGGCAGAGAGAGAGCGUGUGGAGAGGCAGAGAGAGAGUGUGUGGAUAGGCAGAGAGAGAGUGUGUGGAUAGGCAGAGAGAGAGUGUGUGGAGAGGCAGAGAGAGCGAGCGUGUGGAGAGGCAGAGAGAGCGAGUGUGCGGAUAGGCAGAGAGAGUGCGUGUGGAUAGGCAGAGAGAGAGAGAGUGUGGAGAGGCAGAGAGAGGUGUGAAGAGGCAGAGAAAGAGUGCGGAGAGACAGAGAGAGAUAGUGUGUAGAGGCAGAGAAAGAGUGUGUGGAGAGGCAGAUAAUGAGUGUGGAGAGGCAGAGAAAGAAGAAAGAUUGUGGAGAGGCAGAGAAAGAGUGUGGAGAGGCAGAUAAAGAGUGUGGAGAGGCAGAGAGGGAGUGUGUGGAGAGGCAGAGAAAGAGUGUGGAGAGGCAGAGAGAGAGCGUGUGGAGAGGCAGAGAGAGAGCAUAUGGAGAGGCAGAGAGAGAGCGUGUGGAGAGGCAGAGAGAGAGCGUGUGGAGAGGCAGAGAGAGAGCGUUUGGAGAGGCAGAGAGAAAGCGUGUGGAGAGGCAGAGAGAGCGUGUGGAGAGGCAGAGAGAGCGUGUGGAGAGGCAGAGAGAGAGCAUGUGGAGAGGCAGAGAGAGAGCAUGUGGAGAGGCAGAGAGAGAGCGUGUGGAGAGGCAGAGAGAGAGCAUGUGCAGAGGCAGAGAGAGAUUAUGUGGAGAGGCAAAGAGAGAGAUUAUGUGGAGAGGCAAAGAGAGAGAUUAUGCGGAGAGGCAGAGAAAGAGAGUGUGGAGAGGCAGAGAGAGAGUGUGUGGAGAGGCAGAGAGAGAGAAUGCGGAGAGGCAGAGAGAGAGAGUGUGGAGAGGCAGAGAGAGAGAGAGUGUGGAGAGGCAGAGAGAGAGAAUGCGGAGAGGCAGAGAGAGAGAGUGUGGAGAGGCAGCGAGAGAGAGUGUGGAGAGGCAGAGAGAGAGUAUGCGGAGAGGCAGAGAGAGAGAGUGUGGAGAGGCAGCGAGAGAGAGUGUGGAGAGGCAGAGAGAGAGUAUGUGGAGAGGCAGAGAGAGAGAGUGUGGAGAGGCAGCGAGAGAGAAUGCGGAGAGGCAGAGAACGAAUGUGGAGAGGCAGAGAAAGAUUGUGGAGAGGCAGAGAAAGAGUGUGGAGAGGCAGAGAAAGAGUGUGGAGAGGCAGAGAGGGAGCAUGCGGAGAGGCAGAGAGAGAGCGUGUGG